AAUUGCAUGCUUAUAGAUGUUGCUUAAAUGAACAUGUUUUUCACAAAUCUUCCUUCAGAGAUUCCACCAAACACCAGUCACUCCUAGAGAUCACUCUAUGUAUAUCUAGAGCAAUGCUUUAAUGCCAAUUGAAAUUGGUAUCAGGCAGAAUAUUCUGUAAUUUAAAAUUCGAUAUAUGCUUGACUGACUAGUUAGCAUUCCCAGUGAACUAGGAUCAGAUUUGUUAGUUUUCGAAAACCAAGAAUACACAAUAAUAUAUGGUUUACUAACUUAACCCUAGUUAACAAAGGUUCAACUUAGUUGAAAGAACAUAUCUAUUUGCAAACCCUAAAGUCAAUGAGUUACAUUCAAAUUAACAAGAUAUCUGCCAAGAAUAACAAUAAUCAACAUAAAGAGUUUUUGGCCGAAAAACCACCUCUGGGUUAAAAAACCUGGGACUGACCACUGAGUCCAAUCCACUAGUGUAAACAAAGGUUCAUAAUAAGAUCAUACAAGCUCAAUUCCUAGAUCCUUAUCUAUAGAGUAGCUUUACCUUUGUGCAACCUUGCCUUACACGAGAUGAACUCCUUCGGUCUUCAUGAAGUGGAAGCUCCUCUUAAGCUCAUCACCUUGUGACACCGAGAACCAACACAACCAAUGCAAAUGAUAUGACAAUGAUGGUUAUGUGAAAUCUGGAUUCAAUGACCAAUCAGUUUCUCCAGCGAAACAUUUGAAGGAAGAAGUUGAUGACAAUCCUAAAACAGGUCUUUAUGAGGAUUAGAAACUUAAUUCAAGACCAUGAAAACAAUGCAAACCUACUUCUUAAUUAUUGGUGUUCAAUGCUUGAAGAAGGUUUGACAGUUAGGGUUUCAUAAAUAGAGAAGAGGCAAUCUCAAAGAUUUUAAUGCAACUCUCUCACUCUCAAAAUAAUUUCUAAACCUUAAGGAACAAAUAUACCCAAGGAAAUUUGAUUUCCAUCAGCCAACUUGGGCCAAUGACGCUUGUCAGCUGCAAGAGAGAUCUAGGCAGAUCAAUGGCCAAAAACUAACCACCAGCAAAAAGGUGUCAGUUAGCCCAUGUAGGCUGUCUGAAUUUGUGUGCUUAGACAGUUGGAAGUUAGCGCACAAAACUGACUAGACAAUCAAACUAGAUAGAAUGCAAUACAAAUAAGAUAUGAAAUAUACAUGUAUGAACAAACCUUUUGAGGUGGAAUGUGCCACAUCUUGAACAUUACUCCAACAACAACAACUCAUAAUCAGAGUAUAUCCUAAAGCUAGAUUGAGCAUGUGUAAGGUUCAAUUACAAUAUUUGACAAGGAAGGCCAAACGUAAAAGUCUUGACUUCACAAGAUAGGGAAUGUAGAGAGAUGGUUCAUCGAUCUUUGUUGAGUCUGUUGGAAGUAUGCCCACAAAGCCACUCAUUUGAUGUAAUAGCUUUUUGGAAUACUUAAUGUAUUAAACUUUUAUAUGUUUAAUGAAGGGCAAAGCUUAUUGUUAAUCACUAUUUAUUGUAUCAUUUGUUUAAGCAAUAAGGGAAUCCUAGGGAUGUAUUUGAUCUAAGAGACAAGUGAU
rnacentral:lncRNA from 1 species